rnacentral:rRNA from 1 species
CGGCGGACGGGUGAGUAACGCGUGGGUAACCUGCCUCAUACAGGGGGAUAACAGUUGGAAACGGCUGCUAAUACCGCAUAAGCGCACAGUACCGUAUGGUACGGUGUGAAAAACUCCGGUGGUAUGAGAUGGACCCGCGUCUGAUUAGGUAGUUGGUGGGGUAACGGCCUACCAAGCCGACGAUCAGUAGCCGACCUGAGAGGGUGACCGGCCACAUUGGGACUGAGACACGGCCCAA